AGCGAACGCUGGCGGCAGGCUUAACACAUGCAAGUCGAACGCACCUUUCGGGGUGAGUGGCAGACGGGUGAGUAACACGUGGGAACGUACCUUCCGGUUCGGGAUAACCCAGGGAAACUU
rnacentral:rRNA from 1 species